GCAGGGAUGGCGGAGCGGUCAAACGCAUUGGACUGUAAAUCCAACGCCUCACGGCUACACAGGUUCGAAUCCUGUUCCCUGCACCA
rnacentral:tRNA from 1 species